rnacentral:rRNA from 1 species
CAGUAGCCACGGUAAUACGAAGGGUGCAAGCGUUAAUCGGAAUUACUGGGCGUAAAGCGUGCGCAGGCGGCUUUACAAGUCAGAGGUGAAAGCCUGGUGCUCAACACCAGAAUUGCCUUUGAGACUGUAUCGCUUGAACGUCGGAGAGGUGAGUGGAAUUCCGAGUGUAGAGGUGAAAUUCGUAGAUAUUCGGAAGAACACCAGUGGCGAAGGCGGCUCACUGGACGACUGUUGGCGCUGAGGUGCGAAAGCGUGGGGAGCAAACAGGAUUAGAUACCCCCGUAGUCCCUGUCUCUUAUAC